rnacentral:rRNA from 1 species
UAAUACGGAGGGUGCAAGCGUUAUCCGGAAUCAUUGGGUUUAAAGGGUCCGCAGGCGGAUGUAUCAGUCAGUGGUGAAAUCCUACAGCUUAACUGUAGAACUGCCAUUGAUACUGUACAUCUUGAAUUCGGUCGAAGUGGGCGGAAUGUGUCAUGUAGCGGUGAAAUGCAUAGAUAUGACACAGAACACCGAUAGCGAAGGCAGCUCACUAGGCCUGAAUUGACGCUCAGGGACGAAAGCGUGGGGAGCGAACAGGAUUAGAUACCCUGGUAGUCCACGCCGUAAACGAUCAUUACUCGAUAUUAGCGAUAUACAGUUAGUGUCUAAGCGAAAGUGAUAAGUAAUGCACCUGGGGAGUACGAUCGCAAGGUUG